rnacentral:rRNA from 1 species
UACGUAGGUGGCAAGCGUUGUCCGGAUUUACUGGGCGUAAAGAGCGCGCAGGCGGUUGAUUAAGUCGAAUGUGAAAGCCCCCGGCUCAACUGGGGAGGGUCACGCGAUACUGCUCGACUCGAAGGCAGGAGAGGGAAGUGGAAUUCCCGGUGUAGUGGUGAAAUGCGUAGAUAUCGGGAGGAACACCAGUGGCGAAGGCGACUUCCUGGCCUGUUCUUGACGCUGAGGCGCGAAAGCUAGGGUAGCAAACGGG